CAGCCGCCACGGUAAUACGUAGGUGGCAAGCGUUGUCCGGAAUUAUUGGGCGUAAAGGGCUCGCAGGCGGUUUCUUAAGUCUGAUGUGAAAGCCCCCGGCUCAACCGGGGAGGGUCAUUGGAAACUGGGAAACUUGAGUGCAGAAGAGGAGAGUGGAAUUCCACGUGUAGCGGUGAAAUGCGUAGAGAUGUGGAGGAACACCAGUGGCGAAGGCGACUCUCUGGUCUGUAACUGACGCUGAGGAGCGAAAGCGUGGGGAGCGAACGGGAUUAGAUACCCGCGUAGUCCCUGUCUCUUAUAA
rnacentral:rRNA from 1 species